rnacentral:rRNA from 1 species
CCUACGGGAGGCAGCAGUGGGGAAUAUUGCACAAUGCGCGCAACCCUGAUGCAGCGACGCCGCGUGAGUGAAGAAGGACUUCGGGUUGUAAAGUUCUAUCAGCAGGGAAGAAAAUGCCGAUACCUAAGUAAGAAGCCACUGCUAACUCCGUGCCAGCAGCCGCCGUCUUACGUAGGGGGCAAGCGUUAUCCGGAUUUAAUGGGUGUAACGGGAGCGUAGACGGCAGUGCAAGUCAGGAGUGAAAGGCGGGGGCUCAACCCCCGGACUGCUCGGGAAACUGUACGGCUGGAGUGCAGGAGAGGUAAGUAGAAUUCCUAGUGUAGCGGUGAAAUGCGUAGAUAUGAGGAGGAAUACCAGUGGCGAAGGCGGCUUACUGGACUGAAACUGACGUUGAGGUGCGAAAGCGUGGGGAGCAAACAGGAUUAGAUACCCGGGUAGUC